CCCUGAGCAGGUUCUCCAGGUUACUGGAGAUGAGUGACUCCAUUCCCCAGGCCCUGAGCAGGUUCUCCAGAUGCCUGGACAUGAAUGCCCUGUUCCCCAAUCCCUGAGUGGGUUCUCCAGGUGCCUGGAGAUGAAUGUCCCAUUCCCCACGCCCUGAGUGGGUUUUCCAGGUGUCAGGAGAUGAGUUUCCCCAUUCCCCAAUCCCUGAGCAGGUUCUCCAGGUUUCUGGAGAUGAGUGCCCCUGUUCCCCAUGCUGUAAGAAGGUUCUCCAGGUGCCUGGAGAUGAAUGCCCCAUUCCCCAAUCCCUGAGUGGGUUCUCCAGGUGUCAGGAGAUGAGUUUCCCCAUUCCCCAAUCCCUGAGCAGGUUCUCCAGGUUUCUGGAGAUGAGUGCCCCUGUUCCCCAUGCUGUAAGAAGGUUCUCCAGGUGCCUGGAGAUGAAUGCCCCAUUCCCCAAUCCCUGAGUGGGUUCUCCAGGUGUCUGGAGAUGAGUGACUCCAUUCCCCACACCCUGAUCAGCGUUGUU